GGCUGGGCUGUGCUGGGCUUCAGCUCCAUCCCAGAAUGGGGUCAAACCACAGCACAGCUGGGCCUGCAUGGCCUGGAGUGUGAAACCCCUCCUGUAUGUAUAUAUUUUUCUAAAAAUCCACGGAGCUGGUUUAUCAUUUAACUGUACUCUGUAAUCAGCAAAUGUAGGUGUUUGUCUUAGAAGUGAAUUGCUGUUUUCAGCUCUGAUGAAGAUCUGACUAUUUUGGUUAUUUUUUAGAUGACAGCAUUUAAGUGUUGAUGGAUCAUCUCCAAUGAGAAUUCUUCUCUUCAGGGAAGCCAGUGAAGUGAUCUGUUCUUUGACGUUGUGUUGCUUUAGACUACAUUGUCACCUGCUUCUUCAGGAACCUCGCUAAAGAAGACAAUAAGACCCUCACAGGUAGCGACAUUUCACAGGAUGGACAGAGAUCAUUCCACUUCAUGCAGCAGAACCCAGAAGUUCUACAGCAGGUGGUGAGCUGCCGGGGGGUUUGUGUGUUUGUGCUGUGCCAGAUGGGUCUGGCUGUGCCUCCCACCACUCUGGGCUGGACUCUGACACCUGUCCUGAGGGGGAAGCUGGGGCUGGCCUCUAUGGCACAUCGCAAGGAGCCCUUUACUGGACGCUGGGGAAGAAGGACAUUUCUGAGUCACGUGAGCUGGGAAAGCUUCUGGUGGCAGUCAUUUCACUGCUGA
rnacentral:lncRNA from 1 species